CCACACUGGAACUGAGACACGGUCCAGACUCCUACGGGAGGCAGCAGUGGGGAAUAUUGCACAAUGGGCGCAAGCCUGAUGCAGCCAUGCCGCGUGUGUGAAGAAGGCCUUCGGGUUGUAAAGCACUUUCAGCGGGGAGGAAGGCGUUAAGGUUAAUAACCUUGGCGAUUGACGUUACCCGCAGAAGAAGCACCGGCUAACUCCGUGCCAGCAGCCGCGGUAAUACGGAGGGUGCAAGCGUUAAUCGGAAUUACUGGGCGUAAAGCGCACGCAGGCGGUCUGUCAAGUCGGAUGUGAAAUCCCCGGGCUCAACCUGGGAACUGCAUU
rnacentral:rRNA from 1 species